AACCUGUAGCGCAGUGGAUAACGCAUUGGAUUUCUAAUCCAAAGGUCGUGGUUCGAAUUUCACCAGGGACG